GAAUGAAAAAUCCAAAACUAUUAGAACCUUGGUCUGAACGUCGCCAUACAGUGUUGAUGGAUGCGUCCAUUUGUGCGUGUUUUAGUCCGAUAAUGACUCUUUCUUGUUCUUUUCUUGGCAGACAGGAGUCAUUAUUGUCUCCUCAGAGGUCUUUGUCGGACCAGGUAAACACGGGUGGUUUGAGGAAUCUGACCGAGUGACGCCGAUGUUUUUCAGGUACAGUGUUCCCGCAGCAUCGCUGGUCGUCAUAGCAACGCAACACAAAGAUGCUGUGAUGUCAUCUUCAGCAUGAGAAGGAAACCCACUGAUAUCCGACCUGACGGCGGUGAGGCAGAACCAGAACAGUCCGCUGACAUGCGUCACGGUCCGGGGAUGGAGAUGGAGGGGAGGCCUAGUGCUGAGUCCUGAGUGCCGCUGGUGCUGAGCAGACACACAUUAGAGGUGAUGAUAGUCAUUUCAAAGUCACAGCAUCUUCCGCUUAAUUACAGUGACGGGUCAGCUCCUGCGCGCGCGUAAAAAUAACCAUUUUCUUAAUUACAA